rnacentral:snoRNA from 1 species
AAUGCGAUGAUGAUUUUAUAAAGGUUGAGGCAGUGGUGGCUUUGGUCACCGUGAGCCGUCAAACCAAAAAACGACUUCUCUUUCCACUGAGCAUU